GACGAACGCUGGCGGCGUGCUUAACACAUGCAAGUCGAACGGAAAGGCCCUGCUUUUGUGGGGUGCUCGAGUGGCGAACGGGUGAGUAACACGUGAGUAACCUGCCCUUGACUUUGGGAUAACUUCAGGAAACUGGGGCUAAUACCGGAUAGGAGCUCCUGCUGCAUGGUGGGGGUUGGAAAGUUUCGGCGGUUGGGGAUGGACUCGCGGCUUAUCAGCUUGUUGGUGGGGUAGUGGCUUACCAAGGCUUUGACGGGUAGCCGGCCUGAGGGGGUGACCGGCCCCAUGGGGACGGGGAUACGGCCCAGACUCCUACGGGGGGCAGCGGUGGGGAAUUUUGCCCAAUGGGCGGAAGCCGGAGGCAGCAACCCCGCGUGGGGGAUGACGGCCUUCGGGUUGUAAACCGCUUUCGCCUGUGACGAAGGGUGAGUGGCGGUAAUGGGUAAAGAAGCACCGGCUAACUACGU
rnacentral:rRNA from 1 species